rnacentral:rRNA from 1 species
GAGUAAAGAUUUCGGUCGCUUUGGGGGGAGCUCGCUUACUAUCAGCUUGUUGGUAGGGUAAUGGCCUACCAAGGCUAUGACGGUUAGGGGGUGUGAGAGCAUGACCCCCAGCAUUGGCACUGAAACACUGGCCAAACACCUACGGGUGGCUGCAGUCGAGAAUCUUCCACAAUGGGGGAAACCCUGAUGGAGCGAUGCUGCGUGCGGGAUGAAGGCCUUCGGGUUGUAAACCGCUUUUGUAGGGGACGAAAUUUUUGACGGUACCCUUUCGAAUAAGAGGUUGCUAACUCUGUGCCAGCAGCAGCGGUAAUACAGAGACCUCAAGCGUUAUCCGGAUUUACUGGGCGUAAAGCGUCUGUAGGGGGUUUAUUAAGUUCCAAGUAAAAUUUCAAGGCUCAACUUUGAAUUCGCUUGGAAAACUAAUAAACUGGAGUCUAGCAGAGGUGCAUGGAACUUGUGGUGUAGGAGUGAAAUCCGUUGAUAUCACAAGGAACACCAAAGGCGAAGGCAUUGCACUGGGCUAGCACUGACCCUGAGAGACGAAAGCGUGGGGAGCAAAACGGAUUAGAUACCCGUGUAGUCCACGCCCUAAACGAUGAAUGCCAAAUGUUCGGGGAUUCGACCCCCUGGGUGUUACAGCUAACGCGUUAAGCAUUCCGCCUGGGAAGUACGGCCGCAAGGCUAAAACUCAAAGGAAUAGACGGGGAUCCGCACAAGCGGUGGAGCGUCUGGUUUAAUUCGACAGUAAGCGUGGUACCUCACCAGGGUUUGACAUCCCUUGACAGCCUUGGAAACAAGGUUUCCUUCGGGCAAGGUGACAGGUGCUGCAUGGUCGUCGUCAGUUCGUGCCGUGAGGUGUUCCGUUAAGUCGGGAAACGAACGAAACCCCUAUUGCAUGUUACAAUUUCUCAUGCAAGACUGCCCGGAUAUACUGGGAGGAAGGUGGGGAUGACGUCAGAUCUGCAUGGUCCUUAUACCCUGGGCGACACAGGCGCUACAAUGGCAGAGACAAAGGGUUGCAAAACCG